CGUCGUAGUUAUAAUUUGGAAUAAAAUUUUAUUCGAAAAUUUUGAAAUAGAAAAAAAAAAACAAAGUUUCCAUUUGAAGAUUUGGAAAGGAAAGUUUGAAAGUUUAAAAAUAAAAUUCUAAACUUUCGAUUUGGAAAUGAAUCGACGUCAAUGACGCAUCGUUACGCGACUACAUUAUCGUUUAUUUACAAGUAGUAUAAGUACAGGUGACGAGGAGAUGCUUGCUCGUAGAUAUGGUUACACAGGUGUGCAUCGUCGACGAUGUGCAAGCGGUGCAUGAAAUAAAGAAGAAGGAGGGAAAUCGAGUCACAUGCCGGAAAAUGUCAACCACGUGCAGAUAAUUUACUUGCGUGUUACAUCAUUUACGGUAAAGCGUGUGGAGAAAAAUAUCGUGUAACAUAUUAUGAACCACUCGCCUGUCGAUUAAGCCAAGGACGUUGUCAUUGAUUUUUUGGAUAAAAAAUACAUAAUGUUAUCGAACUGCAAAAAAGUGUUAUUCAUCGACGUAAUUAAGAUAUGUAUAGUUUAUUCUUGUACAAAUUUUUUAUUUUAAUGUCAUUUGAUUCGUUUAAUCAAUGUUAUACAUCUCCAUAAGGGAAUUCAAGUUUAUUUAAGAAGAAUAUUGAAAAAUAUUUUCGCUAUUUUUUUUUUUUUUUU